UUAUGUGAGCGAUUUGUGAAAUUGAAUGGAAUAAGCUUUAGGCUGGCCUGUAGUUUCAGUACAGUAGGAACCUUUUCAUGCUUCUGAAAUCAAAAAAUCUAGAGUGGCUAUAUUAAAUAUUUUAAUCACUGAUUCCAUGUUUAAAGAGGCAUUUCGGGUGGUCUGACCCUUAUUUAUUUCUCACAGGUGUCUUAAAUGAUUAUUCUCAUGGUUGCAGGUGUUACAGGUUCAUUAAAACUGUUAGCGUGUUAAGAGGAAAUGGUGCUUUCAAAGGUCUUUUUUUCUGAAGCACUCCCAGGUUUUGGGUGAGUGACCCCGUCCCCACGUCAUGCUGGAUCAAUACUUCUCUAAGCUUAUCACAAAACUGUUUGACUAAACCCUCUGUAGGUACAUAUAUGGAGGUUAAAGGAGAGUAGAAUGACCAGUCAUGACAUAGACCGGACUUGUUUCUCAUUUUCUUGCAGACUGGAUCACUGGGAGAGACGAUGUGUGUCAUGGAGGGUCAUGUGGAUCAACCAUCUUUACUGAACGGAGUCUGUGGUAAGUUAACAUGUCUGCAAAAAGACUUGAGAAUGGAUAUAUUGUCAAAAAAAAAAAA